rnacentral:hammerhead_ribozyme from 1 species
AUUCAGCUGAUGAGUCCCAAAUACGACGAAACACGCGUCCUGGAU